CACCGAAGCUGCGGCAGCGAACGUAUCACUUAAAGCGAUUCAGCGGGUUACGAUUGACGGAGCGAAGCGACGUCAAAGCGUAUACAAAGUCGAGUCGGUUUAAGGAUACGUUCGUUGGGUAGGGGAGCGUUCUGUAAGCCUGUGAAGGUGGCCUGUGAGGGUUGCUGGAGGUAUCAGAAGUGCGAAUGCUGACAUAAGUAACGAUAAAGCGGGUGAAAAGCCCGCUCGCCGGAAGACCAAGGGUUCCUGUCCAACGUUAAUCGGGGCAGGGUGAGUCGACCCCUAAGGCGAGGCCGAAAGGCGUAGUCGAUGGGAAACAGGUUAAUAUUCCUGUACUUGGUGUUACUGCGAA
rnacentral:rRNA from 1 species